rnacentral:rRNA from 1 species
ACGAACGCUGGCGGCGUGCUUCACCCAUGCAAGUCGAACGGAAAGGCCCUGCUUUUGUGGGGUGCUCGAGUGGCGAACGGGUGAGUAACACGUGAGUAACCUGCCCUUGACUUUGGAAUAACUUCAGGAAACUGGGGCUAAUACCGGAUAGGAGCUCCUGCUGCAUGGUGGGGGUUGGAAAGUUUCGGCGGUUGGGGAUGGACUCGCGGCUUAUCAGCUUGUUGGUGGGGUAGUGGCUUACCAAGGCUUUGACGGGUAGCCGGCCUGAGAGGGUGACCGGCCACAUUGGGACUGAGAUACGGCCCAGACUCCUACGGGAGGCAGCAGUGGGGAAUAUUGCACAAUGGGCGGAAGCCUGAUGCAGCAACGCCGCGUGCGGGAUGACGGCCUUCGGGUUGUAAACCGCUUUCGCCUGUGACGAAGCGUGAGUGACGGUAAUGGGUAAAGAAGCACCGGCUAACUACGUG